GUCGAGCGAACAGAAGGGAGCUUGCUCCCGGAUGUUAGCGGCGGACGGGUGAGUAACACGUGGGUAACCUGCCUGUAAGACUGGGAUAACUCCGGGAAACCGGAGCUAAUACCGGAUAGUUCCUUGAACCGCAUGGUUCAAGGAUGAAAGACGGUUUCGGCUGUCACUUACAGAUGGACCCGCGGCGCAUUAGCUAGUUGGUGGGGUAAUGGCUCACCAAGGCGACGAUGCGUAGCCGACCUGAGAGGGUGAUCGGCCACACUGGGACUGAGACACGGCCCAGACUCCUACGGGAGGCAGCAGUAGGGAAUCUUCCGCAAUGGACGAAAGUCUGACGGAGCAACGCCGCGUGAGUGAUGAAGGUUUUCGGAUCGUAAAGCUCUGUUGUUAGGGAAGAACAAGUGCGAGAGUAACUGCUCGCACCUUGACGGUACCUAACCAGAAAGCCACGGCUAACUACGUGCCAGCAGCCGCGGUAAUACGUAGGUGGCAAGCGUUGUCCGGAAUUAUUGGGCGUAAAGGGCUCGCAGGCGGUUUCUUAAGUCUGAUGUGAAAGCCCCCGGCUCAACCGGGGAGGGUCAUUGGAAACUGGGAAACUUGAGUGCAGAAGAGGAGAGUGGAAUUCCACGUGUAGCGGUGAAAUGCGUAGAGAUGUGGAGGAACACCAGUGGCGAAGGCGACUCUCUGGUCUGUAACUGACGCUGAGGAGCGAAAGCGUGGGGAGCGAACAGGAUUAGAUACCCUGGUAGUCCACGCCGUAAACGAUGAGUGCUAAGUGUUAGGGGGUUUCCGCCCCUUAGUGCUGCAGCUAACGCAUUAAGCACUCCGCCUGGGGAGUACGGUCGCAAGACUGAAACUCAAAGGAAUUGACGGGGGCCCGCACAAGCGGU
rnacentral:rRNA from 2 species